GAGGUGUCACUGUGAGCUGUGUGGCUGCCUUAAGAGAUAUCUGUUGUAGCUUAUUACUUGGUUGCCUUUCCCCACAUGUACAAUGACAAAAAUGCCUUCAACCUAUUUGAUCCAGCCGUUCCAGUACAACUCCUAUACUUGCCAUCUUUCCAAGCCCAAAGCUAUAGUUCCUCAUGGUCCUGCACUCCAUGGACUAAAUUAUGAUGAAACUGAAACACAAAAAAUUUAGAUUAGCUCUUAGGUGACAAAGCCAGGAUUGAAGCUCAUGCGGUCUGGCUCCAGAACAACUCUUCUUCAUAGUUACAUUAUACUGCCCCUGCAUUGUUGGUAUUGAAAAUAACUGAUACCGUGCUUCCAGAAGAUUUUUCUAACAGUGUUUGCAGGCUAUAAAAUAGUGCUUUCACUUAGAAAAGGCCAGACAUGGUGGUUCAUGCCUGUAAUCCCUAGCACUUUGAGAGGCCAAGGCACCAUGCCGGGAGAUAAGGAUCCAACAUAAGACAAACAGGGCUGAUGCUUUUGGAAAGCUCAUAUUCAAGCUGGGGAGACAAACAACAUACAAAAACUCACUCUGUCUCCCAGGCUGGAGUGCAAUGGCAC
rnacentral:lncRNA from 1 species